GAGUCAGGAUAAAGGAGGGCUUAGCAGGAACAAGACUGGAAUCAAGGAGAACAGUUAGGAAGACGCUACAAUAUUUAGACAAAGAUGGUACAGACCUAAAUUAGAACAACAGCUGUGAGAAUGGAGAACAAGAAUAGUAUUAGAAAAGAUGCCAUAAACUGACAACACCACAAACCCAACUUUGUCUUAAAUGACUUGUUUGAAGUAUACAAUAUGAGUUUGUUUUUACUUGAAUUCAUUGACAACAUCAUAAAAUCCGAAGACUACAUAAAACCUAAAUUUCUACCUCCUCUUUAGAAAUAUAGUAGAUUUGCAGUACUGAGCCACAUUUCCUCAUGACAAUACCUUGCCUGGCAGUAAGAAGCAUAUGAUCUUUUUAGACAACAUACGCUCCCCACCUGACCACAUACCCUUCCACCAAUUCCAGCCUGUUUUAUUUUAUCUGCCAGGCUCCUAUAGACGUUUGAGAGUGAUUUCUGAGAUUAUCUGAAAAAAAAAAAAAAAUCAACAGGUCGCUGUGGUUAAUAAGUAUGAGAGAGUGAGAGAAGAGGUGCAGUUUCAGCCCCAGAGGUUGAUGGGUAGAAAGGAAGGAGUGAGGAGGGAGAGGCAGGUUCAGUUCCAGAGGUUGAUGGGGUGAUGGGCAGAAAUGAAGGAGUGAGGGAGCAGAGGCAGGUUCAGCCCCAGAGGCUGAUGGGUAGAAAGGAAGGAGUGAGGAAGCAGGGGCAGGUUCAGCCCCAGAGGUUAGCGGGUAGAAAGGAAGGAGUGAAGGAGCAGUAGCAGGUUCAGCCCCUGAGGUUGAUGGGUAGAAAGGAAGGAGUGAGGGAGUAGGGGCAGGUUCGGCCCCAAAGGUUGAUGGGUAGAAAGGAAGGAGUGAGGGAGGAGGGGCAGGUUCAGCCCUAGAAAGUUGAUGGGUAGAAAGGAAGGAGUGAGGGAGCAGGGUCAGGUUCAGCCCCUGAGGUUGAUAGGCAUAAGAGAAUGAGGGAGCAGGGGCAGGUGAGUGGCAGUAGGUGAUAAUUUGAGAUGUAACUACUUGAGAUAAGGAGCAUGGGAAAAGGAACAACUUUGGUGAGUGAGAUUAUUAGUUCCAUUUUGGACAUGCUGAGUUAGUCUAUUUUAAAUGGAUCUAUCUACUGGUGUGAUUAAAGGAAAAACCAUUUCUUAUAAGCCUUUAUAAACAGAUAGACUCUCCAUUAAACCAACCUGUUAAUUUUCUUUUUUUCUGCCAAAAAAUCUUUGAUCCAAAACAUAUAAAUGUUCUGUGUGCAUAAGGAGAUGUCAUUUUUGUCAAAUUUACAUUUAAAGUGUCACAAGAAAUUUUUAUUCCUCCUGUCAUUAUUUAUAUGAAGGAAAGUAUUGCCAAAAUUAAAGGCAAAGGAAAUUAGCUUUUCUAGUUAAUGUCAUAAGACAUUAAAUAUUUUCACUCUGAUGGAGUAAAAAAUUAGAAAAUUUUCAAAAACCUUUACGGAGUUAAUUUAAUCUUACUAGAAAGGGCUAUAAAGAUACUA
rnacentral:lncRNA from 10 species